ensembl:lncRNA
AUGUUAAUUAUAAUUCAAAUGCGUUUUUUUUUUAUUGACCACAAUAUCAUUGCUAUUUGUCUACUUUUGAAUAAUUUUGAAAAAGGGCUGUGGCUUGAGCCCCCAAAGAUAGUUGCCCAGCCCAGCUCUAGAGCUUCCACCAACAUAGAAUUCUCUUAUAUUUUUCUUAUCACAGGUGGGAUAUUUGAGUGUCUGUGGAGGCCUCUGAGAAGAGUCUGGAGACUCCUGUGGUGCCGUGGACCUGAUGAGUCUGAAAUAAAACUUUCAGUGGAAGAAACCUCACCACAUUUUAGUGGCCAUAGCUCUGUCCGUCCGUGGUGAAGAUCCUCAAGUUGUUUAUCUUCACUGAGGUGAGGUAAGAUACAGAUUGAUUGUCUUUAAUUUGCAUGCAGUAUUGUGAAAAUGUGAAUUUAUCCGCUAGGACAGUGCUUCUGAAACCUGUCCUGUGAACACCAUUUUUGAUGUCUUCUUUCUCAUCUAAAGCCGGGCACACACGUCGAUUUUAAUAGUCCUUUACGAUUGUUGCUUGUCAGACAUGAUGAUCAUGUCGCACUGUGGGACCUCAGUUGUCAUUAAUGUCACGCACGCACGCAUUUAUAGGCUACUAGGGAUGUCAAAUUUCGAUUAUUUCCAUGAUCGAUCGUCGUUUAAAUUAACGAUCAAUUAAUUGAUAACAUAAAUGCUGCAAAAUGCUCUAUUGCAGGCACGCAAAAGCCACACACACACAAAACGCUUUCUCACUUGAAUUAAAGGGGUUUUAGUCUGAAUAAAAUGCUAGUUGCAGGAUUAUAAAAUGAAUAG